CACAUUUCUGUCAACAACAGGCCGUGCCCUGCAUCUAGACAUAGUUAAGUUGGGUAGUGAUGUGUGGCAGUUCAGUAAUGAGAUGGGUGCCACUUUAGGGAGAACGUGCAGAUGAGGCUUAUUUUAACAGCUCUUAUGAACGAUGCCGAGGAAGCCGAGAAACUAUUAGCUUUGAAAUUGAGCACCCUACCCCAGGAACAGUAUAGCCUGGGCAAGUGGCUGAAUUUCCACACUGACAUGUUCAGCAUCAG